CGGCCCUCGGAGGCUGACGGAAGGCGGUGGCUGAGGAGCGGCGCCUCUGGUUGAGCGCUCGCCGUGUGUCCCGCACCUGUCUGUCCUGCCGCCGCCCGCACAGCACCGCACAUCUCCAGUCGGACUGGCUACAUUUCAAGGGCUCAACCAUCACACAUUACCAGUGGCUACUGCAUCAGACUGUGCAGUGCUAGAUGGGGAGUCAGAAGAGAAACCAAGUGAUUUCCAUGUCAAGUGGUGAACAGGCUAAGAAGAAAUGUAAAUUGGGGAAAGAGCAUGGGGAAUGUGGGAGUUGCUGUUUGAAAGAGGAUGGUUGGGAAGGCUGAAGAGCUGUCAUUUGCAGAGGGACCCAAAAGAGGUCCACUUACAGCUGGAUUUACUUCCACCUCUGCCACCUGUGAGACAGCAAGACCAACCCCUCCUCUUCCUCCUCCUCAGCCUACUCCGAGUGAAGAUGAUGAAGAUGAA
rnacentral:lncRNA from 1 species